GACGAACGCUGGCGGCGUGCUUAACACAUGCAAGUCGAACGGAAAGGCCCUGCUUUUGUGGGGUGCUCGAGUGGCGAACGGGUGAGUAGCACGUGAGUAACCUGCCCUUGACUUUGGGAUAACUUCAGGAAACUGGGGCUAAUACCGGAUAGGAGCUCCUGCUGCAUGGUGGGGGUUGGAAAGUUUCGGCGGUUGGGGAUGGACUCGCGGCUUAUCAGCUUGUUGGUGGGGUAGUGGCUUACCAAGGCUUUGACGGGUAGCCGGCCUGCGAGGGUGACCGGCCACAUUGGGACUGAGAUACGGCCCAGACUCCUACGGGAGGCAGCAGUGGGGAAUAUUGCACAAUGGGCGGAAGCCUGAUGCAGCAACGCCGCGUGCGGGAUGACGGCCUUCGGGUUGUAAACCGCUUUCGCCUGUGACGAAGCGUGAGUGACGGUAAUGGGUAAAGAAGCACCGGCUAACUACGUG
rnacentral:rRNA from 1 species